GAUGAACGCUGGCGGCGUGCCUAAUACAUGCAAGUCGAGCGAAUGGAUUGAGAGCUUGCUCUUAUGAAGUUAGCGGCGGACGGGUGAGUAACACGUGGGUAACCUGCCCAUAAGACUGGGAUAACUCCGGGAAACCGGGGCUAAUACCGGAUAACAUUUUGAACCGCAUGGUUCGAAAUUGAAAGGCGGCUUCGGCUGUCACUUAUGGAUGGACCCGCGUCGCAUUAGCUAGUUGGUGAGGUAACGGCUCACCAAGGCAACGAGGCGUAGCCGACCUGAGAGGGUGAUCGGCCACGCUGGGACUGAGACACGGCCCAGACUCCGACGGGAGGCAGCAGUAGGGAAUCUUCCGCGAUGGACGAAAGCCUGACGGAGCAACGCCGCGUGAGGGAUGAAGGCUUUCGGGUCGUAAAACUCUGUUGUUAGGGAAGAACAAGUGCUAGUUGAAUAAGCUGGCACCUUGACGGUACCUAACCAGAAAGCCACGGCUAACUACGUGCCAGCCGCCGCGGUAA
rnacentral:rRNA from 1 species